UACGUAGGGGGCAAGCGUUGUCCGGAAUCAGUGGGCGUAAAGCGCGUGUAGGCGGCCAGGUAAGUCCGUUCUGAAAGCCCGGGGCUCAACCCCGGGAGGCGGAUGGAUACUGCUUGGCUCGAGUCCGGAAGAGGCGAGUGGAAUUCCCGGUGUAGCGGUGAAAUGCGCAGAUAUCGGGAGGAACACCAAUGGCGAAGGCAGCUCGCUGGGACGGUACUGACGCUGAGACGCGAAAGCGUGGGGAGCAAACAGG
rnacentral:rRNA from 1 species